rnacentral:tRNA from 1 species
AAGAAAGUGGCAGAUUGGCAAUGUGAUUGGCUUGAAACUAAUUCAAGGGGGUUCGAUUCCUCCCUUUCUCG